GGAGGCAGCAGUGGGGAAUAUUGGUCAAUGGGGGAAACCCUGAACCAGCAACGCCGCGUGAAGGAAGAAGGCCUUCGGGUUGUAAACUUCUUUGACGAGGGAAGUAAAAAAUGACGGUACCUCGAAAACAAGCCACGGCUAACUACGUGCCAGCAGCCGCGGUAAUA
rnacentral:rRNA from 1 species